AUACAAAAUGCUAUGCCAAUCCUUAACAUAUCAAGCAAACACACAAAUCUGUUUGAGAAGACGUCAAUUGAAUUUCAGUUAAUCGACGGAAACUUGCAAAGCAAGUCACCCAACAGAAGGAAACAGAGGCAGCACAGUGGGAUUUCAAACGGAGAGGGAUGCUCCAACCAUGGUUUCGAAUCGGGACAUCUAAGCUUUGAAAGCAAAUGGCCGGCGCAUUGUUGAUUAUUUGUUUUGCCCCCCUGCAAAAUCAUAACAAAUAAUAAUAAACAAUGCACAGCUGUUUACUUUUAAGCUUCUAAGCUUAUCCUAAACUCUUCUGGUGCUUUCACCUUGUACAUGUUCUUAGAACAAGCUCAAAAUCCUUUGACCGGUUCAUCUAUCUUUUUAGGUUAUGGCAGGUCCCCAGGAUGAGGGUUGUCUAAAUUUUUUUCUCUCUUCUAAGUUAUGCCACAGGUUCUAUGAAAGGGGGCUUGCUAAAAAAUUUAUACACCUCUUGUAAAAUUAUACUAGCUUGGUCCUAUGGAGGGGCGUCCAAUUUUUUUAUCUAUAUCUCUCUUCUUGGACUAUGCCAGGUUUAUGAAGAUGGGUUUGCUAAGUUUUCUCUAUUUAUAUCCCUGUUCUUCUGGGUCCUUAAGGCCACAAGUUGUAAUUGCAUUAUUUGCGCUAGAAAUUGUGUGCAGAGAGCAAGGUUAAGGAAUUUGGAAGGUGCUGUUUUCAGACAAUGUCACAGACAACUCGUUUCCAACUUGCUGGCAACUUUUCAAAGCAGAAAAAAAUGGUGGAGAAAGUGAAAAUGCCAGGGAUUGAGACGGUUGAAUUGGGUGAACAUAAUUGGGUUACAUUUGUGCACGAUCCCAGUACAACUGAUGCACAACUAAGAAGCCGUCUGGAAGCUAUGAGUUUGCGUAUCAUUCAGACAGUAAUUACAAAGAAAAAGAACUGAUGAUGAACGGAGUGGAAUGGUGUGGCUGACUGUUUGGCUAAGUGGGCGUCCAAGUAUAUGCAGGAUUGGAAUAUUACGGAUCAGAGGCAUCUUCCCCUUGAAUUAUCUCACGAAUUGGAUCAACUUGUUGCUCAGGAUAAAGCUCAUUAGAGCUCAUUGAUCAACCACUGAUGCAAUGUCAAUAUUCAGAGAUUAAAGAAGCUUUUACAUAAAGCAUGGAUGAAAGAAACAACUUGAUCAUUGUAAUUUUUUUUAUAAUUUAUGCAAUAAAAAACUGCUGAUUUAUUAUUUGUGGUGGACAAAUAUGCUAUUCCAUGGAGAUUUGUUUUUACCCAGAAAAAGUAAUAAUUCUUUUUUCGACCUUUGUGAGAGAAUGAUAAUGCC